UUUAUGACAUGUCACGAGAAGCCAGCUGUCCUGGAGUUUAGAGUUCUUAUGUAACUGCGGAUGUGGGCGUGCUCAGUCCUUGGUAGAUGGCCAUGUGGUGAAGCCGUGAGGCAGCCAGGGAGCUCUCACAUCUUUAACAUGGACUUUCUUUUCUCAUACUUGGCAAAAUGGCUGCUGAACCCUCAAUUUAUGCAACUAGGUCAACAUUCCAGGCCGGCCGGAAAGGGAAAGAGGUAAAGCCAAUAGGCAAGAGGUGAAAGGUAAAGUCCUUGCCGCUGAGUAAACUUCCUGGAAUCCUCUCUGCCUCUGAGCUUCCACUGACACAUUGGUUCAGACUGUACUGCUCAGCUAUCUUCAGUUCCAUGAGAAUCUGGAAGUUGAGUAUUUUCAAAUAUGCUCCUUGGACAAAAUAGAUUUGGCUUAAGUCAGGAAAGUAGAAUAGAUACCCCUAGGCCACUGAGAAUGUCAGUGUACCGUAGAGUGAGCAUAUCCAGCGUUCAGUGUCCACGAUGAGCCCCCCGAGGCUGAAUUCUGCCUUCAGGAGAAUGGUGUGAUGCACUAGUCUUCCAGCGCGAUUUAAAGAACGGUGUGUCAUUGAGCGUAUAGUGUAAGGUGGGCAUGGUGGAACAUGCCUGAAAUCCCAGUUCUGGGAGGCAGAGGCAAAAAGUUUGUCAGUCUGAGGCCAGUGGAACCAUAAGCCUCAAAGAAAUAAAUGAGAGUAAGGAAAAGGGAAGGAAGGAAGACUCUUUUAGGAAAGCUGGGAGUUCAGUCGUCAUCCAAAAGGGUCUCCUAUAGCCCAGACUGGCUUUGAAGUCCUCAUAUAGAGAUGCUUCGCUGGGCCCAACCUCUCCUCCGGGGCAAGAUGUGUGCUGUCAGACGGAAUCUAGUUCAAGAACACUCGCCUGUCACUUUAGCAGGAACCUGUGACUUGGAUAUCUGCUCACCGUCAACAUGCCGCCAGCUCCUCUCCCUUCGCUGUGUCCCCUGUCCAGUCCCUCAGGGACGUCUCUGUAUCCAGCCCUGCCCCCACCGGUCAUGGCUGGCCACCUGACUUGCCUGCACAUAUCCUGUUAGGUCGGUUUAACCAGGAUCUCCUUCACCUUUGAAGUUUCCUCUUAGUAAUUUUCCAUCCUCUGGCUUCCACCCUGCUCUUUGCGCUGAAAAGCCCCGCUUAGCUAUGCAGUUUAGAUUUGGACCCAAUCUCCCUCCCCAGCUUCAGAAUCCAUUUCUUAACCCUUACAUUGACAGUGAAUAAAAUCUGUCUGGAUGUCUUUAA